AAGUCGUAACAAGGUAACCGUAGGUGAACCUGCGGUUGGAUCAUUACAAAAUGAUGGCUUUUUAGCUUGAGUGAUCGCAAGGUCGCUCGCUAAAAGGCUUAUUCACCCUUGUGCAUCGUAAUGUUUUUUGGGCUGGUUUAAUCGCCAGUCCAGCAUUUUUAAAAACCCUUUAUUAUUUGACUGAAUUUUUUUGAAAUAUAAAAAAUAACAACUUUUGACAACGGAUCUCUUGGCUCUC
rnacentral:misc_RNA from 1 species